ensembl:rRNA 5S_rRNA 5S ribosomal RNA
GUCUACGGCCAUACCACCCUGAACGUGCCUGAUCUCGUCGGAUCUCAGAAAGCUAAGCAGGGUCGGGCCUGGUUAGUACUUGGAUGGGAAACAAGCAAACUCAGCCCUAGCUG